UAGCCGUAAACGAUACUCGCUAGGUGUCGGCCACGGUGCGACCGUUGUCGGUGCCGUAGGGAAGCCGUGAAGCGAGCCACCUGGGAAGUACGGCCGCAAGGCUGAAACUUAAAGGAAUUGGCGGGGGAGGCACAACAACGGGUGGGAGCUUGCGGUUUAAUUUGGAUUCAACGCCGGACAACUCACCAGGAGCGACGGUUACAUGAAGGCCAGGCUGAUGACCUUGCCUGAUUUUCCGUAGAGGUGGUGCAUGGCGUAGUCGUGU
rnacentral:rRNA from 1 species